AUUGAACGCUGGCGGCAUGCUUUACACAUGCAAGUCGAACGGUAACAGGCCGCAAGGUGCUGACGAGUGGCGAACGGGUGAGUAAUGCAUCGGAACGUGCCCAGUCGUGGGGGAUAACUGCUCGAAAGUGCAGCUAAUACCGCAUACGAUCUAUGGAUGAAAGCGGGGGACCGUAAGGCCUCGCGCGGUUGGAGCGGCCGAUGUCAGAUUAGGUAGUUGGUGGGGUAAAGGCUCACCAAGCCAACGAUCUGUAGCUGGUCUGAGAGGACGACCAGCCACACUGGGACUGAGACACGGCCCAGACUCCUACGGGAGGCAGCAGUGGGGAAUUUUGGACAAUGGGGGCAACCCUGAUCCAGCAAUGCCGCGUGCAGGAAGAAGGCCUUCGGGUUGUAAACUGCUUUUGUACGGAACGAAACGGUCUGGGUUAAUACCCUGGGCUAAUGACGGUACCGUAAGAAUAAGCACCGGCUAACUACGUGCCAGCCGCCGCCGUAA
rnacentral:rRNA from 1 species